UCCCUGGCUGUCCAGUGGUUAAGAUGCUGCACUUUUACUGCAGGGGACCCAGGUUUGAUCCCUGGUCAGGGAA
rnacentral:tRNA from 1 species